UUUCAGGAUGCCAGUUGUACAGAUGGUUCAUGUUCAUCGCUACUUUUUGGUUCACAUUGUAAAGAAACGAUAAUAAAAUUCUGCAACAAAAAGGAUCACAACCUUAAAGCCCCCAACCUUCAGAACAAAAAAUGUGGAAAAAGUGCAUGGGAGGUGUUGUACGACAGUGAAGAUUUUAAAUACGAGAAAAAUCCGCCCAUGCCCCCCGGCACCAAUACUGAACCAUCCUUCAGGAUUCUCCAGCCUCCUAGCACGAGACGAGUUGUACUGGUUUUUGAUAUAAGUGGAAGCAUGAAUUCUGAAAACCGUUUCAACAAGCUGAUACAGGCAGCAACGAUCUUUAUCAUGGACCUUGUACCAGCUGGAAGUGAAGUAGGCCUGGUUUCGUUUCAUUCUUACGUUGAAUCACAUGCAAAUCUUCGGGAGAUAAGAGACGAUGAUGGUUCAAGAGAAGACCUGGUGACACUUCUUCCUUCUUCUACUGGCGGGUCCACCU